CUGUUAAAGGCACAAACACACAUACACACUGAUAAAGACACACACACACGGACAGAGAGACAGAGAGAGAGACACACACACAUACACACUGUUAAAGACACAAACACACACACACUGAUAAAGACACACACACACACACACACACUGAUAAACACAAACACUGAUACAGACACACACACAGACACUGAUAAAGACACACAGACACUGAUAAACACAGACACUGAUAAAGAGAGUGGCCUCGAAGCUGGGAACAGGCUAAGAGUGGUGUGUGAUUUGCUAUCAUUGUCACCCCACCACAUCUCUAGUCUAACCACACAAACACACACAGACACAGACACACAAACACACACACUCUAUCUCUAAUCACACGUUCCAUCUACUGUUUAGUUUCCAUCUACUGUUUAGUUUCCAUCUACUGUUUAGUUUCCAUCUACUGUUUAGUUUCCAUCUACUGUUUAGUUUCCAUCUACUGUUUAGUUUCCAUCUACUGUUUAGUUUCCAUCUACUGUUUAGUUUCCAUCUACUGUUUAGUUUCCAUCCUUCUCUUCUCUCUCUCUCUGUCUCUCUGUCUCUGUCGCUUUGUCUCACUCUCUCUCUCUCUCUCUCUCUCAAUUCAAUUCAAUUCAAUUCAAGGGCUUUAUUGACAUGGGAAACAUGUGUUAACAUUGCCAAAGCAAGUGAGGUAGAUAAUAUACAAAAGUGAAAUAAACAAUAAAAAUUAACAGUAAACAUUACAAAUACAGAAGUUUCAAAACAAUAAAGACAUUACAAAUGUCAUAUUAUAUAUAUACAGUGUUUUAACAAUGUACAAAUGGUUAAAGGACACAAGAUAAAAUAAAUAAGCAUAAAUAUGGGUUGUAUUUACAAUGGUGUUUGUUAUUCACUGGUUGACCUUUUCUUGUGGCAACAGGUCACACAUCUUGCUGCUGUGAUGGAACACUGUGGAAUUUCACCCAGUAGAUAUGGGAGUUUUUCAAAUUUGGAUUUGUUUUCGAAUUCUUUGUGGAUCUGUGUAAUCUGAGGGAAAUAUGUCUCUCUAAUAUGGUCAUACAUUGGGCAGGAGGUUAGGAAGUGCAGCUCAGUUUCCACCUCAUUUUGUGGGCAGUGAGCAUAUAGCCUGUCUUCUCUUGAGAGCCAUGUCUGCCUACGGCGGCCUUUCUCAAUAGCAAGGCUAUGCUCACUGAGUCUGUACAUAGUCAAAGCUUUCCUUAAUUUUGGGUCAGUCACAGUGGUCAGGUAUUCUGCCGCUGUGUACUCUCUGUUUAGGGCCAAAUAGCAUUCUAGUUUGCUCUGUUUUUUUGUUAAUUCUUUCCAAUGUGUCAAGUAAUUAUCUUUU
rnacentral:lncRNA from 13 species